rnacentral:lncRNA from 1 species
AUCGGUGUGUCCAAGGCUUAACAUACAAUAUGGCUUUUGAUAACAUCCUAGACUUGAUGCAGAACCUUUUCUUCUCUUUAGAUUCCACUCAAAACUAGGAGAAGCCUCAAAGUUUAUUUGGUAAAAUAAUAUGGUGACGAAGCACAAGUUUUAUGGUAUAGGUUGCCUCUACAAUUAAGAAGCGCCACAUCUGCCCUGAAGCUAUGGAACAUAAUAAACUCUUUUAAAGUUAUAUACCCUAAGCCUGCUUUUAACUGAAAGUUUAUAGACCGAUGAGCUCACUCCUGGAACCACAUCAUGAGAGGUAUUUUUCUUCAACCACUGCUGAGAUAAAGUUCUACACAUAAGACCACUCCUGGAAAAGACACAGCUCUGGGCUGACCAAAGAUCAUGAUCCAUCUCUGUGCAACAUGGAAGACAAGACACCUCUAAGAAAAAACAUGGUACAUUUAAUUGCUUUUGAUAAAUCUCUAGUGUUAAAACUUCAUAGAGAAGGAAGAAGCAGAAGUGAAAAUAUCCAGAUGACGUCCAAAAUACUUCAAACUCCCAACCAACUCAGGAUGUGGGUGUUUCAGGACAAAGAUCCACGUUCAGGAAACUUUACUCUUUCAGGAGAAAACUGGCAUGUCUGCUGGAAUUGUAUACGCCAGCUGCCAGUGAUUCCUCUGAAGGAAAGAGAGAGAUAAUCCAUACAUGCUACUUGUAAUAUCAGUAGAAUUUGGGAGAGGAGAGGUUGAGUGCAUGGAUUUCAUAUCAGAUAACGAAGGACACUUGUUGGCGGAUGGAGUAAUAAUAACAUGGUCAAGAAAUUUUGAAUGGAAGAGGAAUACAAACUGAAAAAUAGUGACACCGGAAUAAUUUUGGACCCUUGAACCUCAGAUACAAAUCUUAUUCUUCAUAUUGGAC